AAUAUUUGUUUUGGUCAGAUGAUAAUGGAAUAAUGGAUUAUAUUUAAACUAAUUAUAGAGUAAUGAUGUCAUAUUUAUUACUAGUAAUAUUGUACUACUAUUUUACUGAAUUUACUCUUUUUUUUAAAAUAUUCAUUUGGCAUUUUUGUGAAUUAAUUAUCAACAUUUAGGGUAUAUGUAUGUAUAAAUCUAUCAAUUUAUAACGAAAUAAAUGAGUCGUGUUUAUGAGUAUUAAGGAAAAACACGUGUUUCAGAGGUUAAAUGUUGCAUACAUCUAACUUAAAUCUCGAGCUCGUGAAUUAGACAUCCACGUUGGAAAAGAACAUGUUAAAUAGUGGUUGAUAAAUUAAAUUGGUUCAAACGUUAUUGUUUUGACUCAUUGUUAUUUUAGUCGCCUAACUCGUCUCCAAACAAUUCCCACCCCACGUAACUAUUCAAAUAUAAGCGCCACUUAUAGAGUUGACAUAUUAAAAUGUUACGUCACUCAACUAGCUAGCUAGCAUGGUCAAUACAAUUCGAUGGUCGGACAACAAGAUUUGAGUUGAACCAAUCAAUAAAAGAUGGAGUUAAAUUAUGCCUCAUUUACUUGAAUAUAAUUAAAUAAAUGACAAUGAUCGAUUUUUUAACACGUCGUUAGCAAUGGAGGCUCGGAAGAGAAAAAAGGAAACCUAAUUUGAAACUUUUGUUUACCUUUGGCACGUAAACUAUAUCUCUAUGAUCCAGAUGCGACAUUUUAUUCUUAAUCAGUCGAAGCACGCUAAGACCAUGAUUAUCGUGGUCGCUUAGGGUGUAUCUUUGGCAUAUUUAGCAAUUUAAAAAAAAACAAAACACUCAUUAUGUUAAGCGACUUUGCUUAAAUAAGGGUUAGAAGAUACGAAUCUUCUUGGACACGCGUCAGGGUGGGAGUGUUUUGGGAGUAGAAACCGAGGGGUUUCGAAAAUUAUUUUCAUUUUCGAAGCUUUCACCCCCUUUCUCUCUCGGGGACGACAAAGUGGAGAAACCGUCGUCUCGAUUCCUCGACGAAGCAUAUCGAUGCAAAACGAUGAUUCUUCUCCUCGACGAAGCGAUUAAAAUCCCCGGGUGGUCUCCUCGACGAAGUGAAGCAACGAAUCCGGACGAGAUCCUCGACGAAGUGAAGAAAGGAAACUGAUUGCGGUUCUCGCCAAAGAAGGAAAUCGAAGGUUUUGCUCCUCAUUCAAAUCGAAAGGGAAAGGUCUUUAUUUUUAUUUUGUUUUUAAAGUCGAAUCUUUUAUGGAUUUGCAUGUCUCUGAUUGUGGUCUUGUUGUUCGAAUCUUCUAGGGUUUUGCAUGUCUUUGAUUGUGGUUCUGUAAUGAUUUGCGUUUCCGCUAAUGAGAUGUCCCUUUAGAGCUUUCAUGUGUUUUGAUCGUUUGAUCUCCUAGGUUCUCUAGACAUAUAAAGUUCGAUUUUGUAGGUGUUAUUGAUGAAGAGCUUCCAUGUAUAUUGAUCGUUUGAGCUUUUAUGUGUAUUGAUCGAUCGUUUCCUUAACUGGAUUUUAUUAAUUUCGAUUCAAUGAUCAUCAAGUAUAUUACUUCCUGUUCUUAUUUGUUUAUUAGAUUGCUUGGUGUCGUGUUGAUUCUUGAGAUCGUGUUGAUUCUUGAGAUUGAACAACUAUUUUUUCUGAAAUGUUUCCGUGUUUUGUCUUAUGGAUGGAACAUGGAAUGAACAAGAGGAAUGCGUGAACAACGAACAUGGAGAAUAUCAAUACAGAGAAGAGGACUGCAUCUGCCAACAACAGAGAUCCUAAAAUCUACACUAAGAAUUUGAUAGUGAUCGGGAGUUCAAUAUAGGGAAGAAAUAACGUGGGCAACGAUAUCCUUAGAACACAACGAUGUAAUCAGGUAUGAGUCGACAAGAAUGGACUAUAUUCGCAGGUCGAAUAUCAUAGAGAUAUCAUGAUUAAGAAGGAUCGUGACUGAACUCGGGAUCGAGCUGCCUAUGUACCCGUCAAGGGAUCAAGUCUAAACGUACUUCGAUUAUAAUCAUCUCGAAAGAGAUGUCGGUUUCUUCGGUCAUGGGUGAGACCUCGACUUCGUCGGUCUCGAGCUCGAUGUUUACUUCGAGAUCUUCUUGUCUUGAAUAAUUAGUAGUUAGUGUACGAUUGAUAAGUUCUCGAACUGCAUAUGAUCUCUUUAGAUCGAUCUUGUCAUAUGAAGAUAAGGUCGAUCAUUAACAUGAUACGAGGGUCGCUAUCGUCAUGGAUUUUUGUUUUCACAAUUACAAAAAUGUGUUGACGUGAGAUGAUUAUUGGGAAUCU